CGGCGGACGGGUGAGUAACGCGUAGGCAACCUGCCCUGUACAGGGGGAUAGCCACCCGAAAAGGUGAUUAAUACCCCAUAACGCAAGAGAUACACAUGUAUCACUUGUCAAAGAUUUAUCGGUAUAGGAUGGGCCUGCGUCUGAUUAGCUAGUUGGUAGGGUAACGGCUUACCAAGGCAACGAUCAGUAGCCGACCUGAGAGGGUGAUCGGCCACAUUGGAACUGAGACACGGUCCAA
rnacentral:rRNA from 1 species